GAAUAGUGUGGACGUGGCAUAAGCUUUACAAUAUUGAAAUCUGACAGCACUCAAAGCUUCCGUUUUUUAAUUAAACUGGUUUCCGAUUUUGUAAGAUUGAAAUUAUAAUGUCUAGUACUUGUGACGAAAAUUAUGGGAAAUAUUAAGCGCAAAAAUAAUAACAAAAACUAAACAGCACGAACACUACUUUUAAGGAAUGUGCACAAUCAAGGGCAAAGCUUCUUUGGUUGCGUUGGUUCGUUUUGUCUACAAAAUAAGUCGUGGCCUUAAUUUGAGAUUUUUCGCUGUAAGUGUUCAGAGAAGGCUGAGAAAUUGCUUGCUUGAGCAAAUCCCGCCACUGGCAUGCGUUGAUGAAUUGUGGUAUACAGCGUAUUUUGGGGUUUGCGGCUGUUGCGCUGCGUGCUUGACUGUGGUGGCGGCAAAAACCGCAUACAAGAAUGCAAAUGUAUAGAGAAUUGUAUAAAUGAGCAACCAACAGCGGCAAUGGCAAAGCGUGGCAAUUGGGUGCAUUGAUGUGCUUAAUGGUGUAUAAACAAAUAAAAUAGCGGAAACGGAUAUGCCUGCGCUACAUUUGUUAUUUUAACUUAUACAACGACUUAUUUGUUGACAAUACAACCAAUUAAAAUGCGGUAAAUAUUAUUGCAAAUUUAACUGCAAACCUCUAACAAAAUAAAUUCGUUUUUCUUUUGAGCUUAUAUUGCAUAAUAUGCCAAUCAAAAUCAGUUUGAAUCAAAGAUGCAGACAUUAAAUUUCAUGUUAAAAAUAUCCAAUCGUUUCACGUUGAACGCGUAUCACAAUGAAGCCGAUGUUAUUCAUUUCGGUAUAGACACCAGUCUCAAAAAUGGAUGAAAAAAUUGCACAUCAUAUUCAAGACUAUAAACGCAUUCCGCAUUUGUAAUCGAGGGUAGUAAAACUUCAUCUAAAAUGAGGCGAAAAACGACUAGCCAGAAAUGCCCAUAUGCACUUUAAGUUGAAAACAGUAGCCGUGCACUUCGCUACAUAAGUGCAUAUAAUAAAAACGACUGCAAAAGCGGCAAGAUGCAUAUCUUCCAGAGAUUCUCAACUAAUGAAACGAUGCCAUUUACAAAAUCACCAUCAAACAUUAAACUUAGAUCGAAAAAUUCAUUAACUGAGAAAUUGCCUAUUAUCAAGAAGAGAAUAAGUCCACUUGUGUACGUUUGUGCACCUUGAAAAGCUGCUAUUAAAACAUCCAUAAGACCUUCCCACAACAGCAAAGCAUCGGAAGUACAAAUAUUGUUUAACUAAAUAAAUAUAGUAAAGUAAGCCAUUGCCCUCAAACAUUUCCCAGCUCCUAUGACUAUGGAAAAAAUUAAAGUCUA